CCUACGGGUGGCAGCAGUGAGGAAUAUUGGUCAAUGGGCGUAAGCCUGAACCAGCCAAGUCGCGUGAGGGAUGAAGGUUCUAUGGAUCGUAAACCUCUUUUAUAAGGGAAUAAAGUGUGGGACGUGUCCUAUUUUGUAUGUACCUUAUGAAUAAGGAUCGGCUAACUCCGUGCCAGCAGCCGCGGUAAUACGGAGGGUGCAAGCGUUGUCCGGAAUCAUUGGGCGUAAAGAGUUCGUAGGCGGCAUGUAAAGUCAGGUGUUAAAGGCGCAGGCUCAACCUAUGUAUGGCACUUGAUACUUGCAAGCUGGAAUGCGGUAGAGGUAAAGGGAAUUCCUGGUGUAGCGGUGAAAUGCUUAGAUAUCAGGAGGAACAUCGGUGGCGUAAGCGCUUUACUGGGCCGUAAUUGACGCUGAGGAACGAAAGCCAGGGUAGCAAAUGGGAUUAGAUACCCUUGUAGUC
rnacentral:rRNA from 1 species